rnacentral:rRNA from 1 species
GACGAACGCUGGCGGCGUGGAUUAGGCAUGCAAGUCGAACGGUAUCAUCCUUCGGGGGUGAGAGAGUGGCGAACUGGUGAGUAACACGUAGGUUAUCUACCCUCAAGACGGGGACAACCCAGGGAAACUUGGGCUAAUACCGGAUGUGAGCAACUUUUAGUUGUUUGAAAGGUGGCGUAAGCUGUCGCUUGGGGAUGAGCCUGCGUCCUAUUAGUUAGUUGGUGAGGUAACGGCUCACCUAGGCAAUGAUAGGUAGGCGGCCUUAACGGGUGGUCGCCCACACUGGGAUUGAGAUACGGCCCAGACUCCUACGGGAGGCAGCAGUCGAGAAUAGUCUACAAUGGUCGGAAGACUGAUAGUGCGACGCCGCGUGAACGAUGAAUCCCUUCGGGGUGUAAAGUUCUUUUAUAUGUGAGCAGUGCUUCUUAUAUUAACAGUAUGGGGAGAGAGAUAUUAGCAUAUGAAUAAGCAACGGCUAACUCCGUG